AGGACGAACGCUGGCGGCGUGCUUAACACAUGCAAGUCGAGCGGAAAGGCCCUUCGGGGUACUCGAGCGGCGAACGGGUGAGUAACACGUGAGUAAUCUGCCCCUAGCUCUGGGAUAGCUCCGGGAAACCGGGAUUAAUACCAGAUACGACCACUUUAGACAUCUGCUGUGGUGGAAAGAAUUUCGGCUAGGGAUGAGCUCGCGGCCUAUCAGCUUGUUGGUGAGGUAACGGCUCACCAAGGCGACGACGGGUAGCCGGCCUGAGAGGGCGACCGGCCACACUGGGACUGAGACACGGCCCAGACUCCUACGGGAGGCAGCAGUGGGGAAUAUUGCGCAAUGGGCGAAAGCCUGACGCAGCGACGCCGCGUGGGGGAUGAAGGCCUUCGGUUGUAAACCCUUUCAGCAGGACGAAGCGAAAGUGACGGUACCUGCAGAAGAAGCGCCGGCUAACUACGCGCCAGCAGCCGC
rnacentral:rRNA from 1 species